AGGAAAAAAAAAAAAAAAAAAAAAACAUUCUUGCGUGAUUUUUUUAAGGCACAACUACUCAGUUUGUCAGGACAUUUAACCUAAAUGCGUGUUAUGGAUUUUAGUUUGCUCUUCUGAUUUUAAAAAGAUGAUGUUUCGGGAUUUUUGUGUUGUGGAAAGCUGCGAGCUAAAAGUCCGAGCAAUGGAUAUUUAGGUUGAACUACUAAAGCCACAGACUGUGAAGUGACGCUUCAUUUGACUCCCUGCGGGCAGAUGUGACCUUUUUCGGCCUGUCACAGGCUGCAAUUAACACCGACAGUCCGAUCCGAACAGACACCAGGCCAUUCCAGAACCAAAAAGAACCUCGUUAACAGGGUUUAUGCUUUGGCUUCAUCUGUUCACCUCAAGAUCAAUUUGAAAUUUCUCCAAAAGUUUAAAACUCUUAUGGAAGCUAAGUAAAUUAUCACCGAUUUAUAGAUUUUUUUUUUUCAAAUGUUAUAUGAUCUAAAUAUGUUAAAUAUGAUGUAUUUUUAUUUACUGAAUAUAAAGCCAGGGAUAUAACCAGUGGCUUAACAACUUGACAGUAGAGUUUUUGGCCCAUUUAUGGGGGCUUAGUUUCCUAUAUGCCUGUGAAAGGAUAUGCAGAUUAGCUGGUUUGUUAAAUAAAAGCCUUUCUCUUUGGAUUCAUCAUAAAAAUAGUUUCCGUUGAGUGUAACUCUUUGAUCUGAGCACAGUUUUCAUGGUCUCUUUUGUUUUGUUGUUGGGCUUUGUUGUCUCUUCAUCUCACCAAAUGCAUGUGGAGAAAGGGUAUGUCGUAGUAUUCGUGACAUGCAGGAGGAUUUAAGGGGAGUUUUCUUUAUUUUAAUUGAUAGAUCUUUAGUAUUUUGUUCUUUACCAAGUAGGACUUCAAAAAUGUUUAUAUUGUAUAAUAACAUCCAGGGAGAUUUCUAUAAUGUUCUUUCUUUAGUCAGAAAUGUAGCUUUAAGCUGUGAUAAAUGUCUGUGAAUAACUGACAGAAAACGUACGCUCAGUUUAUUUAUAUAUCUGGUGUCUAAAUCUGACACUCUUCUCCUGAGGUCCCACUUUGUCAUGCUUUUUACAAAAUCCUUUUGCUCUCCUUCCUCUCAUGCUUCUGGGAUGAGAUAAAACUUUUUCAACUACCAACAAAAUAUAUUCAGCAGGCAAUUUUAAGAUUAUUUGGUUGCCUUUUUGUCACAGUGACUAGUAAUGACCUUUUUUUUAUUAUUUUUUUUAUACCAGGCAUCUCUUAAGAUAAGGUUAGAGAACAAGAACAGUUUGAGAAAAUCAAAUGACUAAUGCUGCUGCUAUGAUCUGACAGCAGCAUUAGGUUGUAUUCAAUAUUCAACAUAUUAAAGAGUCCAUUAAGAUUUUUCUUUAAAACCUAAUAUUCAUAACUUAGGCUUGCAGCUGCUUAACCAGCUAGAAGUCUUGCAUAAUGUCCUCAAUAACUGAUGAGGUCAAGAUUCUGGGAAUAUGUGCUGCUUUUGGAAAAUGUUGCUGGCUGCUCGUAAAUGCCGAUUUCAUCUCCUUUUAUUCUUUUGGUAACUUAUCAGCGUUGGAAAAGAGGAAAAUGGUUGAAGAGGAGGUUGAGAUAACAGGAGGAGAGCUGUUGUUGCUUCACUUUCACAGGCCUCGGUGACUUCAAGUUAAUCUGCAAGAAGCUUCCUCACAUCAAACGUCCAGUCGUGUCCUUUCCAGGAUGGAAUUUAAGCUCCUGCUGGAAUUUUCUUCUUGAUUUCUCGAACUUCAGCUUCAGGUUGUUGUGCUGUUUGGAGGCUGACCUGUAUGCACAUCAUAAUAGGAGACAUUCUGUGUGUUGGUUGUGGAUCAAGAUGAGGGGGAUAUAUUGGAGCAUUUGUUUGCUCUUAUUAACAAUUAAUACUUUUAGUUUUUUUUAUUUUUAUUAAAAUGACUAAUACUAAGUGAGAUUAUACCAAAUUAUUUUAGUUGUUAAGGCAACCAUUACUUUGUUUUCACAAAACAGAGAUGAACUACAACAAAUAAUUAAGAGCAAUGCUGAAACGUAGAAUUUUACAAUUGUGUGCGGGCAAAAGUAAAAAAAAUUGUGAAGAUAGCACAAAAAUAAGUCUUCAUGAGAUGUAAAAAAUUAAAAUAUACAUAUUAACCAUACUUGAGUAUUUUAUGGUCUUAACUGAAUAAUAUGGUUACUAACAGAGAUGAGAGGCGUUAAUUGUUCUGUUCUCUUCAUCACGUUUGUGUAUGCCAAUAACCUGAAGCUCCUUUGGCUCAAAAUAAAAGUAUUUCAUAAAAGUA